rnacentral:snRNA from 1 species
AUGCUCACAGCAGCAGCACUUAUACUAAAACUGGGAGGGUGCAGAGAAGAUUAGCAUGGUCCCUGCACAAGGAUGGCAUGUGUGUGAAGCAGCCCAUGUUUUU